ACCUCGAUGUCGGCUCAUCACAUCCUGGGGCUGUAGUAGGUCCCAAGGGUUGGGCUGUUCGCCCAUUAAAGUGGUACGCGAGCUGGGUUCAGAACGUCGUGAGACAGUUCGGUCCCUAUCCGUCGCAGGCGUAGGAAAUUUGAGAAGACCUGUCCUUAGUACGAGAGGACCGGGAUGGACGUACCUCUGGUGUACCAGUUGUCCUGCCAAGGGCAUGGCUGGGUAGCUAUGUACGGAAUGGAUAAGCGCUGAAAGCAUCUAAGCGCGAAGCCAACUUCAAGAUAAGAUUUCCCACCGCAAGGGUAAGACCCCAGAAAGACUAUCUGGUUGAUAGGUCGAAGGUGUAAGUGCAGCAAUGUAUUUAGCUUAUCGAUACUAAUAGGUCGAGGACUUGACCAAU
rnacentral:rRNA from 1 species